rnacentral:rRNA from 1 species
AUUGAACGCUGGCGGCAUGCCUAACACAUGCAAGUCGAACGAAGGCUUCGGCCUUAGUGGCGCACGGGUGCGUAACGCGUGGGAAUCUGCCCCUCGGUUCGGAAUAACAGUUAGAAAUGACUGCUAAUACCGGAUGAUGACUUCGGUCCAAAGAUUUAUCGCCGAGGGAUGAGCCCGCGUAAGAUUAGGUAGUUGGUGGGGUAAAGGCCUACCAAGCCGACGAUCUUUAGCUGGUCUGAGAGGAUGAUCAGCCACACUGGGACUGAGACACGGCCCAGACUCCUACGGGAGGCAGCAGUGGGGAAUAUUGGACAAUGGGCGAAAGCCUGAUCCAGCAAUGCCGCGUGAGUGUUGAAGGCCUUAGGGUUGUAAAGCUCUUUUACCAGGGAUGAUAAUGACAGUACCUGGAGAAUAAGCUCCGGCUAACUCCGUGCCAGCCGCCGCCGUAA